GAUGAACGCUGGCGGCGUGCCUAAUACAUGCAAGUCGAGCGAACGGACGAGAAGCUUGCUUCUCUGAUGUUAGCGGCGGACGGGUGAGUAACACGUGGAUAACCUACCUAUAAGACUGGGAUAACUUCGGGAAACCGGAGCUAAUACCGGAUGAUAUUUUGAACCGCAUGGUUCAAAAGUGAAAGACGGUCUUGCUGUCACUUAUAGAUGGAUCCGCGCUGCAUUAGCUAGUUGGUAAGGUAACGGCUUACCAAGGCAACUAUGCAUAGCCGACCUGAGAGGGUGAUCGGCCACGCUGGAACUGAGACACGGUCCAGACGCCUACGGGAGGCAGCAGUAGGGAAUCUUCCGCAAUGGGCGAAAGCCUGACGGAGCAACGCCGCGUGAGUGAUGAAGGUCUUCGGAUCGUAAAGCUCUGUUAUUAGGGAAGAACAUAUGUGUAAGUAACUAUGCACGUCUUGACGGUACCUAAUCAGAGAGCCACGGCUAACUACGUG
rnacentral:rRNA from 1 species